CUUCCAAACUACCUCCAUUUCUUCAUUUAUCAACUAAACAAAAUCUCUUUCCUUCUUACAUUUAAAGGUCUUCUAUCUUUAAAUUGUUCUCCUACAUUAAUUGAUUUCCAAGACUAUGCGCCUACGACUCAUACUCAGGCACCACAAUAGGAAUUUACCAAAUAUUCAGGCUCAAACAUACUAAAAUACAAACAUAAUUCAUUUUGUUUGGCUGAUUUUUGAUUUGGUAGAGAGUAUCUAACAGGACUAAUUUUGUUCUACAAGCACAAGGUCACAAACGCACAGCACCGUAAACUUACAUCUUAAUCCUCUGAACACAAUUGCAGGUCGAUAGAAUUUUCUUUUUCUCCCCAACUUGAGAAAUUUCCACUUUCUAAUCAAAUUUCUGUUACAAUUUAUUCAUUCCCUUAAGUAAACCUUUAUAUUUCCCCACAAACUUUUGCUUUUUUUACUUGUUUCACUAAUAUUUUACUCUCCAUGUAUUUGAAUUUCAAGAAAAAGGGACGAAGAAUAUUAGUUUCGCAAUUCGAAGACAGAUCAAGGAAAAAAGGAAAACCUAAUAAGUGGGAUAUAUAUUACAAUGAUGCCUAAACAUGCUGAAUAUCCACAAAAUCAAACAAAAAAACAAGGAAUAAAAUGGUUUUGCAACUUAACCCAACCACAAAAAUCACUGACAGAGUCACGAAUGAAGAAACCAAAAAAUAAAAAAUAAGAAAGUUUCAUACUUCCAGAAUUUUAUACCCCCCUAGCUAAUACAUUAAGCACAGACUUGCUGAAAAUCAGGGAAAGUCCUACCUUGUAAUUUAAUUUUUAAAGCAGGAUUGAAACACAUGCAUCGCAAAAGUAUCCCAAUUACAUAAAAUACAAAUUCACUCAGGUUCACAUCGCUAAUAUAGCGAGGAAUUGCUAUGCAUAUUUUUUUCAUGGAAAAAGGAAGAUGCAAGGAACAUACAGAAAACCAUUUACAAAACAUAGUUGUAGACAAAAAAUUUUAGUCGAGAAAAAUAAAAUCAAGAACGAAAAAUAUUCCAACAAUCGUAGUAUUUUAUUUCAAAUAAUAUAAGUGUUACGAUCCCUAUGAAUCCUCUUAUUUUUCUUUUCAAUAGUAAAUAAAUUCAAGGGCCUUUGAGCUCGAUCUUGAAAAUGUAGUUGUUGCCACGAACGAUGAUCUUGUUCUUGAGUUUUAGCUUGUUUGCUUGAACUUGACCUUGAUUUGUUCUUCGUUCUUGAGCUUGAACUUGAUUUCUUGAACUUGAUUGCUUGAAGCUUGCAACUUGGUGAGAAAUUUGCGGUAUUUGAUCCACGAGCUCUUUCUUGCUUCCUGUUAUAACUUCUAGUGUCUUUUCUGAGUUAUGAAGACCUUUAUUUAUAGUUGUGGAAGGGAGGAGCAGUGAAAAGAACUAACUCUUUCUGAUAUGCCUACAGUUC
rnacentral:lncRNA from 1 species